CUGUUUAUCACCUUCCACGCAUCCGCCUCUCUAUUUCGAAAGAAUUUUAUCAAAAUUGUGUCUAUGGUCAGGUGAACUCUGCUGUACGGUGCGAGCGAAAGGCUAACACGUUUUAUCUGUUCUUUUGGGGAAGAUGAUUUCCUUCUUUGUCCAACAUUUCAUGUCUUUUGAAGAUCUCUGUCCAAUAUUCGGGGUAGUUUCGUCACAAAACUUCAUAUCUUUUGAGACGUUCAAGAUUCACAUUUUUGUUCGCUACCAAAGUUAUGAGAUGAAAGGUGGACUUCGUAACGAAUCAAAAUUAUCUGGUACUUUAAAUUUGAUCAGCAAGAACUUCGAGUUGUAUUAAUUCUCUACUCGGAACUUCAAAAGCACGAUUAAUAAAAAAAUUUUCGCUUCGAAUGUUUUGUGGACAAAGAAUAGCAUAAAUCAUCUUCUGGAAGCAGCUUAAAUUUUCUGUUCACCAUUCUGUUUCUGAUAUCAUGAGUUCGAACACGAAAUUUUAUUUCGUUUUUGUUCCGUACUCGAAUUAUAACUCGCACUGUAUUCGAGCUACCUUGAAAUAUGUGUCUGUGUGUCGCAGGCUCUCCCGCGUAGCUCUUUCGAAUCGUCUCUUAACAAAUUAGGACACCUUUGUCGCUUAUGCAACGAAGCUCGAUCAUUGCUUACUGACGGAUCGCUUGUUGAUCAGAGAAUUCGUGCAAAAUUGUUUGGUUCGGUAUGUGGAGCUAGCGAGACACGAACGAAUCUUCUUCUUCCCUUGUGACUAAUUAUGUACAUACAUGACUUCCACCGAGUCAUACUGUUGAAUUGUUCGCAAGCAGCUUUUAGGAGAAUCAAACGAUUUCGUAAGUGUGGACUAAAGACACAAGUAGAUACACGACACUCAUACCACACAUUAUUUUUUAAUUAAGAGUGCUCGGGUGUUUCGGUAUCGUCGCUUGAUUUACAUUGGCCAUCAAUAUAUAACUUUCUUAACCCAUUCGAGACGACGAUUUUUUUCGAACACGGUCCCCAGGACCGAAGCUCUUUUUCUCUUUAUAUUAUUCAUUUUUAAUAAAAAAAAACUAGAUUACUUAGAAUGUUUUCAUUGCGUGGAUUGAACCAUGUGUGUAAUAUAAGGUGAUAUAAGGUUUUACCUCAAUAACAAUUUUAUUCAGAAUAAUUGAUAAUUACUUAUUACUACUGUUGCACACCUGGUCUUAUAGCCUUGGAAAUCGAUUGCACACACGGUGUGCAAUCGGUCUCGAAUGGGUUAACCUGAUUGAUUGUAGCAUUUAUUUUAAUCCUCAAGGAGUAAGUUCAGAAUUAAUGAAACGUUUAGACAAGUUUCUACUGCAAUUUCUUUUGUACUUUUUAUUGAAAUUAUCAUUUGGAAUCAUAGUUAAUAUUGCAGGAGUUAAAAUCUCUAAUUUUAUAGGUCACUAGUUUGCUAUGUGAAUAAUUGUCUAGAUCAGUGUAUCAAUUAAAAUCUUAGAUCCUGAGCAUUUUCUACAUCCUCAAGUUAAUAGAGUAAAAGUACAAAUCAAUUCCUAGGUCUCUAAGUUCAAGACUUGCUAUGUAAAUAAUUCCUUAGAUCCUCAUAUUUUAAAGAACUUAGAUUCUGAUCAUUUUUUGUAUCUUCAGGUUAAUAUUGCAGGAAUUCAAAUCUCUAAUCUUAUAGGUUACUAGUUUGCUAUAUAAAUAACUGUCUAGAUCAGUGUAUCAAUUAAAAUCUUAGAUCCUGAACAUUUUCUACAUCCUCAAGUUAAUAGAGUAAAAGUACAAAUCAAUUCCUAGGUCUCUAAGUUCAAGACUUGCUAUAUAAAUAAUUCCUUAGAUCCUCAUAUUUUAAAGAACUUAGAUCCUGAUCAUUUUUUAUAUCUUCAGGUUAAUAUUGCAGGAGUUAAAAUCUCAAGACUUAUUGGUUAUUGAUUUGCUAUAUAAAUAAUUGUCUAGAUCAGUGUAUCAAUUAAAAUCUUAGAUCCUGAACACUUUCUACAUCCUCAAAUUAAUAUUGUAAAAGUGAAAAUCAUUUCUCUAGAUCCUUAAGGGGUUAACCCUUUAAAUGCCCAAUUUAUUAUAUAACUUUACUCAUUUUCAAAAGCUUGUAACAAUAUUAAUAAUGAAUUAUGAAAACGAUUGCCAAUGUGAAUCGAGGUAACUCGUGAAACUUCCAUAUCGACCGGUAAAUUAGAAUCUUGUUUCUUUAUUUCCAUUUAAUUUGGCGUAUUUUUAUUUGUAGAAGAGCGUAAAUAUCGAAGGUUUCUCGAUCGAGCGAGCACAGGGCCUGCCACGAUAAUAAAAAACACAUAUUUUGAGUUAGUCGCGUCUUCAUGCUCUUUUUGUUAAUAUUUAAACACCUUUUCUGCUUUCUGCGACAAGUAAU